rnacentral:rRNA from 1 species
UACGUAGGGUGCGAGCGUUAAUCGGAAUUACUGGGCGUAAAGCGUGCGCAGGCGGUUGUGCAAGACAGAUGUGAAAUCCCCGGGCUUAACCUGGGAACUGCAUUUGUGACUGCACGGCUAGAGUGUGUCAGAGGGGGGUGGAAUUCCACGUGUAGCAGUGAAAUGCGUAGAGAUGUGGAGGAACACCGAUGGCGAAGGCAGCCCCCUGGGUCAACACUGACGCUCAUGCACGAAAGCGUGGGUAGCAAACAGGAUUAGAUACCCGGGUAGU